UCAUCAGAACGCUUCUGCGCAUUCGCAUUAGAGUGCACGCAUGCAGGAGCAAAGUGAGCGUGCGCACAUGGCCCUGUUGUGAACCGGUAGUAAAGACCAUCUAAGACUCUGGAUUGAGAGCAACAUUUCCGUCUUGGAUACAAGCCGCGUUAGAAGCUCCCUCCUGAAGAUUGGAGCUGCCAAACCAGCAGACACUGAACAUCUCAUUCUAUUAUUCCAAGGCAUUUCAGCACAGCAGCACCUGCAAUCUGGGAAAUGAAAAGAGAGAGAAAAAGUCCCUUACUUGGGGAGAAAAAGUUGAAAGAAGACAAUUAUCUCUGACUUGAGCAAGACAG